rnacentral:rRNA from 1 species
UACGUAGGGUGCGAGCGUUAAUCGGAAUUACUGGGCGUAAAGCGUGCGCAGGCGGUGAUGUAAGACCGAUGUGAAAUCCCCGGGCUUAACCUGGGAACUGCAUUGGUGACUGCAUUGCUGGAGUAUGGCAGAGGGGCGUGGAAUUCCGGGUGGAGCGGUGAAAUGCGUAGAGAUCCGGAGGAACACCAACGGCGUAGGCAGCGCCCUAGACGAGACCUGACGCUCAGGCACGAAAGCGCGGGGAGCGAACAGG